rnacentral:rRNA from 1 species
UUAUAAUUAAAAUAAAAUUUUUAUUUUUUCAUUUUUAAAUUAAUUAAAAUUUAAAUUAUAUAAUAUAUUAAUAACUGAAAAGGAACAUUUUUAAAUUUUUAAAAAGUAAUAAUUUUUUGUACCUUUGGCAUUAGGGAUUAUCAAAAGAAAAUAAAAAUUUAUUUUUCUCGAAAUAAAUUGAUCUAAUUAUUAUUAAUUUAAUAUAUUUUAAAAUAUUAAUAAAAUAUAAAUUAGAAGUGAAAUUCUUUUCAAAAUUUAAGAUAUCUAGUUUUUAAAAAAAAAUAAAAUUUUUUCUGUUUAAAAACAUUUUUUUUAAAAAAAACAGAAUAAUUUCUCUAGGAUAAGCUAGAGAAAAUUCUAAAAUAAUUAUAUUAAUUUUAAUAAGAAGGAAUAAAAUUAUCCAUUCAAUUUUUAUAAGUAAUUUUUAUAAAUUUUAAAAAAAAAUUUAGUUUUUUUAAAAAAUGGAAAAAAAUAUUUUUUUCAAAAAAAAAUGAUUUUAUUAGUAAAAUAUUUUUUAUUUUUAAAUUUUAAAAAAAUAUAUAAAAAUUAUAUUUUUAUAAUUAAAUUAAAGUAACUCGGCAAAAAUUUUUUCUGACUGUUUAAUAAAAACAUUUUAUUUAGAAAUUAAAAAAUUAAUUAAAUAAAAUUCCUGCUCAAUGAUAAUUAUAUUAAAUUGCUGUAGUAUUUUGACUAUACAAAGGUAUUGUAAUAAGAUUUUAAUUGAAUGCUAAAAGAAUGGAUUAACAGAUAAAUACUUUCUUUAAUUUAAAAAUUAAAUUUAUUAUUUUUUGUGCAGAAACAAAAAUAAAAAUUAAGGACAAGAAGACCCUAAGAAUUUUAAUUUGAUUUAAAUAAUUUAUAUUUCUUAAUCAAAUUUAAUUGGGGCGAUUGAAAAAUAUUUUUAACUUUUUUUUAAAAAAAUUAUGAACCAUUAAUAAUGGUAAUAUGAAAAAAUACUCUAGGGAUAACAGCGUAAUAAUUUUUGAUAGUUCAUAUAGACAAAAUAGUUUGCGACCUCGAUGUUGGAUUAGGAUUCUAAUUUAAUGAAGAAGUUAAAUUAAGAAGUUUGUUCAACUUUUAAAUUCCUACAUGAUCUGAGUUUAAACCGGUGAGAAUCAGGUUGGUUUCUAUCUUAAUUUUAUAAUUAAUACAAUUUAGUACGAAAGGAAUUUUUGUAUAAAAUUAUUUUAUUUAAGAUCUUACAGUUUUUGCAUCAAUUUUUGGAAUU